GGGGGGGGGGGGGGGGGGGGGGGCGGCGGGGAGGCGGAGGGAAGGGGCGGGCGGGGGGGGGGUGCUCGGGUGGCGAAGGGGGGGGUAACACGUGGGUAACCUGCCCUUGACUUUGGGGUGACUUCUGGAAACUGGGGCUAAUACCGGCUAGGAGCUCCUGCAGCAUGGUGGGGGGUGGAAAGUUUCGGCGGUUGGGGAUGGACUCGCGGCUUAUCAGCUUGUUGGUGGGGGAGUGGCUUACCAAGGCUUUGACGGGUAGCCGGCCUGAGCGGGUGACCGGCGACAUUGGGACUGAGAUACGGCCCAGACUCCUACGGGAGGCAGCAGGGGGGAAGCUUGCACAAUGGGCGGAAGCCUGAUGCAGCAACGCCGCGUGCGGGAUGACGGCCUUCGGGUUGUAAACCGCUUUCGCCUGUGACGAAGCGUGAGUGACGGUAAUGGGUAAAGAAGCACCGGCUAACUACGUG
rnacentral:rRNA from 1 species